GGAAUCAGGUUUGAUCCGGAGAGGAGCCUGGGAAACGGUUUCCACAUUAAGGAUGGCAGCAGCGCGUAAAUUACCCACUCCCCAGCUCGGGGAGUAGUGACGAAAAAUAACAAUACAGGACUCAUAUCCGAGGCCCGUAAUUGAAUGAGUACACUUUAAUUCCUUUAACAAGGACCAAUUGGAGGGCAAGUCUGGUGCCAGCAGCCGCGGUAAUUCCAGCUCCAAUAGCGUAUAUUAAAGUUGUUGCGGUUAAAACGUUCGUAGUUGAACUUGUGCUUCAUACGGGUAGUACAACUUACAAUUGUGGUUAGUACUAUACCUUUAUGUAUGUAAGCGUAUUACCGGUGGAGUUCUUAUAUGUGAUUAAAUACUUGUAUUUUUUCAUAUGUUCCUCCUAUUUAAAAACCUGCACUAGUGCUCUUAAACGAGUGUUAUUGUGGGCCGGUACUAUUACUUUGAACAAAUUAGAGUGCUUAAAGCAGGCUUCAAAUGCCUGAAUAUUCUGUGCAUGGGAUAAUGAAAUAAGACCUCUGUUCUGCUUUCAUUGGUUUUCAGAUCAAGAGGUAAUGAUUAAUAGAAGCAGUUUGGGGGCAUUAGUAUUACGACGCGAGAGGUGAAAUUCUUGGACCGUCGUAAGACUAACUUAAGCGAAAGCAUUUGCCAAAGAUGUUUUCAUUAAUCAAGAACGAAAGUUAGAGGUUCGAAGGCGAUCAGAUACCGCCCUAGUUCUAACCAUAAACGAUGCCAGCUAGCAAUUGGGUGUAGCUACUUUUAUGGCUCUCUCAGUCGCUUCCCGGGAAACCAAAGCUUUUGGGCUCCGGGGGAAGUAUGGUUGCAAAGCUGAAGAAUCCACCCACAGUGGCG
rnacentral:ncRNA from 1 species